GCGCCGGUGGUGUAAUGGCGUAGAGCAUUCCCGCCCGGUCAGAAGGAUGUGCGGGUUCGAGUCCCGCCUGACGCU
rnacentral:tRNA from 1 species